GUCGACGAUGAAGCCCUGCUUGCGGGGUGGAUUAGUGGCGAACGGGUGAGUAACACGUGAGCAACCUGCCCCUGACUCUGGGAUAACAGCCGGAAACGGUUGCUAAUACCGGAUAUGCAUCAUAGCCGCAUGGUUUGUGGUGGGAAAGAUUUUUCGGUUGGGGAUGGGCUCGCGGCCUAUCAGCUUGUUGGUGAGGUAGUGGCUCACCAAGGCGUCGACGGGUAGCCGGCCUGAGAGGGUGACCGGCCACACUGGGACUGAGACACGGCCCAGACUCCUACGGGAGGCAGCAGUGGGGAAUAUUGCACAAUGGGCGGAAGCCUGAUGCAGCAACGCCGCGUGAGGGAUGACGGCCUUCGGGUUGUAAACCUCUUUUAGCAGGGAAGAAGAGUGAGUGACGGUACCUGCAGAAAAAGCGCCGGCUAACUACGUGCCAGCAGCCGCGGUAAUACGUAGGGCGCAAGCGUUAUCCGGAAUUAUUGGGCGUAAAGAGCUCGUAGGCGGUUUGUCGCGUCUGCUGUGAAAUCUGGAGGCUCAACCUCCAGCCUGCAGUGGGUACGGGCAGACUAGAGUGCGGUAGGGGAGAUUGGAAUUCCUGGUGUAGCGGUGGAAUGCGCAGAUAUCAGGAGGAACACCGAUGGCGAAGGCAGAUCUCUGGGCCGUAACUGACGCUGAGGAGCGAAAGGGUGGGGAGCAAACAGGCUUAGAUACCCUGGUAGUCCACCCCGUAAACGUUGGGAACUAGUUGUGGGGGCCUUUCCACGGUCUCCGUGACGCAGCUAACGCAUUAAGUUCCCCGCCUGGGGAGUACGGCCGCAAGGCUAAAACUCAAAGGAAUUGACGGGGACCCGCACAAGCGGCGGAGCAUGCGGAUUAAUUCGAUGCAACGCGAAGAACCUUACCAAGGCUUGACAUAUACGGGAACGCCGCAGAAAUGUGGUUCUCUUUGGACACUCGUAUACAGGUGGUGCAUGGUUGUCGUCAGCUCGUGUCGUGAGAUGUUGGGUUAAGUCCCGCAACGAGCGCAACCCUCGUUCUAUGUUGCCAGCACGUUAUGGUGGGAACUCAUGGGAUACUGCCCGGGGUCAACUCCGGAGGAAGGUGGGGGAUGACGUCAAAUCAUCAU
rnacentral:rRNA from 1 species